AUUCUUUCCUCCAAUGAGCUUUCCCGACUCUGAGUGAAACUGAGUCUCAGAGUUGGGAAGGCUCGUUGGAGGAACGAGUGAAAUGUUUUCGGGAGGUCUACAGUAAGUCCAGUUGCCUUGAUUUAUUCUUUACAGAUAAACCAUGGCCUGGAUAAAUUAGAA